rnacentral:lncRNA from 1 species
GGGUGUGUGUGACAGCAAGACUGUAAGAGAAAGAGAUGGAUGUGUGCAGACCAGAAAAAGUGUGCUGUGGGCAUGGAAAUGCAGUAGACCACAUACAUAAUCCCUGUACAAUUUUUUUAGUGCCCUGACUCUGUUCUCACUCUCCACAAACCUUCCUUCAUACACUUCCUUGCUUCCUUCCCCCCCUUCAUGGGGUGCCUACCACAACCAGACCGCCCUGUAAUUCCAUCCGUCUCGUGUUGAAAGGAAGCGUUGCGAUUAGGAAAACUGUCCUGUUCCCUCGUUUUCCCAAUCCAGACCCUCAAGCAGGGCCAUCUUUGGAACGGCAUCGCCCUUGAUGACAGUUAAGAAGUAGCAGGAAGAUUCUAGGCCUCCUUGUUGUGGCGCCUAGACUUUUAGGUAAACCACCAUUUCCUGGAAGCUGCAAAUAAAGGCAAGGCCAUCAUCUUCAGCCACCCCUGCAGAGCUGAGGUUAGGCCACGUUUUAUGACUCCUCUUGGUGACAUUUUGGGAGUUGCUGCUGAGCAACUGCAGUCUUUUAAGACCACGAUUUGCCUGCCUCACCUGGGGACCGAACACAAGCUGGGACUUUGGAGCGUGCUUCUCUGAGCUGCUGGAUUUUUUAUAAUCUUGUGCCUUGAUUUCCCCUGUCCCAUUCUGCCAGUGGGGGGAGCCAGCCCCGGCACUUUACAUGUCCAGUCUUGUUAAGGCCUUUUCCUGUCUGCCAUCCCACCCCGUCUGCAACACAAAGAUCCCACAGCCUUGUUCUGGUCUACGCUGACAGGGCCCUGUGCUCUCUGGCCUAGCCUCCCUCUGCAACAGAACCACCCUUCCAUCUCCUGCAACACACUUUGCCCAUCCAGUGGCCACCGCACUGGAGGGGAGGACACAAAUAAAACCAUGGUCUCCAAAAAAGCUGGAACAGGCUAUCCAAAAACCCAUCCACUUCCUCAUCAGAUAUAGCUUCCCCUCAUCUCCGCUCCUGCAAGUUCCUGUACUUUGGUCCCUUGUCGCUAACUGAUACAUUCCAGCAUGUUACCCAUAAUCAGAAGGAAAAUAAGAAAUUUUCAGAGCAGAAAGGAGUUUGUUCUAGAUUACCAGAAUAGAUUUUGAGUUACCCUGGUGAAGUGUUGUUCCCUGUGAAGGUGGUGGGUGGGUAGGGAUAGUGAGACGCUUCUGUGGUUUGCUUGCCUAUAGGAAACAGAUGAUUUGCUUGAUACUAUUUCUUUGUGGACACUUGGAAUUAUUCCUGUUUUGUUUAACUCCCUUACAAACAAAACUUAGAAUAAACCAACUCUGAGCACAUGUGUACA